rnacentral:snoRNA from 1 species
AUCCCAUGGUGAGGACACCUCCUAAGCAUCUCCUUGAAUUGUUCCCAUGCUUCAUACAAAGAUCCCCUCUCUAAUUGAGCAAAAGUAGUGAUAUCAUUAAUUAGUUU